rnacentral:rRNA from 1 species
UGCCUACGGGGGGCAGCAGUAAGGGAUAUUGGUCAAUGGGGGAAACCCUGAACCAGCAACGCCGCGUGAGGGAAGACGGUUUUCGGAUUGUAAACCUCUGUCCUCUGUGAAGAUGAUGACGGUAGCAGAGGAGGAAGCUCCGGCUAACUACGUGCCAGCAGCCGCGGUAAUACGUAGGGGGCAAGCGUUAUCCGGAUUUACUGGGUGUAAAGGGAGCGUAGACGGCGGCGCAAGUCCGGAGUGAAAGCCCACGGCCCAACCGUGGGACUGCUCUGGAAACUGUGCGGCUUGAGUGCGGGAGGGGG